rnacentral:rRNA from 1 species
GAUGAACGCUGGCGGCGUGCCUAGUACAUGCAAGUCGAGCGAACAGACGAGGAGCUUGCUCCUCUGACGUUAGCGGCGGACGGGUGAGUAACACGUGGAUAACCUACCUAUAAGACUGGGAUAACUUCGGGAAACCGGAGCUAAUACCGGAUAAUAUAUUGAACCGCAUGGUUCAAUAGUGAAAGACGGUUUUGCUGUCACUUAUAGAUGGAUCCGCGCCGCAUUAGCUGGUUGGUAAGGUAACGGCUUACCAAGGCGACGAUGCGUAGCCGACCUGAGAGGGUGAUCGGCCACACUGGAACUGAGACACGGUCCAGACUCCUACGGGAGGCAGCAGUAGGGAAUCUUCCGCAAUGGGCGAAAGCCUGACGGAGCAACGCCGCGUGAGUGAUGAAGGUCUUCGGAUCGUAAAACUCUGUUAUUAGGGAAGAACAAAUGUGUAAGUAACUAUGCACGUCUUGACGGUACCUAAUCAGAAAGCCACGGCUAACUACGUG